UACGGGGGGAGCAAGCGUUGUUCGGAUUUACUGGGCGUAAAGGGCGCGUAGGCGGUCAGCACAAGUCAGUUGUGAAAUCUCCGGGCUUAACUCGGAAAGGUCAACUGAUACUGUGCGACUAGAGUGCGGAAGGGGCAACUGGAAUUCUUGGCGUAGCGGUGAAAUGCGCAGAUAUCAGGAGGAACACCGGUGGCGAAGGCGGUUCUCUGGGCAUGUUCUGACGCUGAGGAGCGAAAGUGUGGGGAGCGAACAGG
rnacentral:rRNA from 1 species